UACGGAAGGCAGCAGUGGGGAAUAUUGGACAAUGGGCGAAAGCCUGAUCCAGCCAUGCCGCAUGAGUGAAGAAGGCCUUCGGGUUGUAAAGCUCUUUUAGUGAGAAAGAUAAUGACGGUACUCACAGAAGAAGUCCUGGCUAACUCCGUGCCAGCAGCCGCGGUAAUACGGAGAGGGCUAGCGUUAUUCGGAAUUACUGGGCGUAAAGGGCACGCAGGCGGUUAAUAAGUUGGAUGUGAAAUCCCCGGGCUUAACCUGGGAAUGGCAUUCAAGACUGGUUAGCUAGAGUCUUGUAGAGGGGGUAGAAUUCCAUGUGUAGCGGUGAAAUGCGUAGAGAUGUGGAGGAAUACCGGUGGCGAAGGCGGCCCCUGGCAAAGCUGACGCUCAUGUGCGAAAGCGUGGGGAGCAAACGAGGAUUAGAUACC
rnacentral:rRNA from 1 species